UACGUAGGAUGCGAGCGUUGUCCGGAAUCACUGGGUGUAAAGGGAGCGCAGGCGGUUCAGCAAGUCAUUGGUGAAAUUCUCAGGCUCAACCUGAGGGCUGCCACUGAUACUGCUGAUCUUGAGUGUGGAAGAGGUAGAUGGAAUUCCUGGUGUAGCGGUGAAAUGCGUAGAUAUCAGGAAGAACACCGAUGGCGAAGGCAGUCUACUGGUCCAUUACUGACGCUCAUGCUCGAAAGCGUGGGGAU
rnacentral:rRNA from 1 species